ACCUUAUAUAGACAGUUGUGUGCCUUUCCAAAUCAUGUCCAAUCAAUUGAAUUUACCACAGUUGGACUCCAAUAAAGUUGUAGAAACAUUUCAAGGAUGAUCAAUGGAAACAGGAUGCAACAGAGCUCAUUUUCGAGUGAGGGUCUGAAAACGUAGUUAUUCUUGUUUUUUAUUUGUAAUAAAUUUGCAAAAAUUUCAACAAAAAAUCUCACUUUGUCAUAAUGGGUUAUUCGUGUGUAGAUUUAGAAACAUUUUCAUUUAAUCAAUUUUAGAAUACGGCUGUUACGUAACAAAAUGCGGAACAAAGCCAAUGGGUCAAAGCCAAUAUUUUCCGAAUGCACUGUUUAUAUAUGGUGCUUACCUGACAUGAUCGAGUUUGACGUUCAGCAGACAAGUAAGCACAAGGUAUCGCUUUGUGUGUCUAAAAUCCUCACCCAUUGGUCAAACACACUGACGCAAUUACGUACUGAUAUGACGCUGACCAAUAGCAUACCAUAUUCAAAUAUCGUUUAAAACAUUCCCGGGAAAUCCGAGUUUCGCGGGAGGGCCCUUCGCGGGUAAACUGCAUCCCCUUAUUCAUUGUCAGCUUCCUGGAGCCAUUUUUUAAACAUCCAGAGCGGAGCUUUCGACUCAAUCAAAUCCGUUGCAUCUUCCCGUUUUAGAAACGUAUCGUUUAUACAAUUUGAACGAAUGGGCAUGUAAGAUAUUAGUCUAACGAUAUCCCUGAUUAUUUUGGGUCGAGCCGAGGCGAACUUUGAGGAGAAAGUGCUCCAAAGUAGCGGAGGUACAAACGAACAUUUGACCCUGAAGAUGAGAAAGAGGGGAGUCCCGGAAAAAGUCCUAAUUUCAGGGGUCGGAGGCUCCUCCAUGGACAAAAAACAAACGGUUAUGACCCGGUACAGCAACGCGACAUAUUAUCAGAUUUUAACACCUACGCCCUGCCCGAACCAGACUAACAAUGUCGGUGUCGCAGACCCGACCGUGAGUCAGCUUUACACUACACCCAUAGGGGUGUCUACAAACGGGACAGGACCGCGACCAGCCCUCGGAAGACCCCCGGCUAGCUGAAAGAGAGACCAAAUAAAGGAGUGCUCACCAGAAUGUCCUACAUCGAUAGAAUGAAUGCAUUAGUCAUCUAUACUGAACGAAAAUAUAAACGCAACAAUUUCAACAAUUUUAUAUAAGGAAGUCUGUCCAUUGUAAUAAAUUCAUUAGGCCUUAAUCUAUAGGAUUUCAUGACUGCCCAGCCAAUCAGAAUAUGGUUUUUCCACACAAAGGGGACUUUUUAAUACAGACAGAAGAACUCCAGUAUGAAAUGUCAUCAGUUUGACGGGUUUCAAGGACAUUAAAAGAUGAGAAACACAAAGACUUCAGUUUGUCUUGGGUGCAUAUUUUAUAUCCUGUGGUUGAAAUACUGUCUGCUUGCAUAAGGGUCAACGAUAUAACACAUUACAAGCACUUUCCAACAUUUUCUCGAGACGCUGAAAGAAAUCCUAUUUCUCCACUCUCGUUUCCCAAAACAAACGUAAUAUUUGUUGUAUAAUUUCACUGCAUCAUUCUGCAGGAGUUAAUAUUCUGUUACAUGUGAGAGGUUAUAGGUCUACAGUCAGUGUCCACAUUUCAGUUUAUAUUCUGUUACAUGUGAGAGGUUAUCGGUCUACAGUCAGUGUCCACAUUUCAGUUUAUAUUCUGUUACAUGUGAGAGGGUAUAGGUCUACAGUCAGUGUCCACAUUUCAGUUUAUAUUCUGUUACAUGUGAGAGGUUAUCGGUCUACAGUCAGUGUCCACAUUUCAGUUUAUAUUCCUUUACAUGUGAGAGGGUAUAGGUCUACAGUCAGUGUCCACAUUUCAGUUAAUAUUCCAUUUAACCCAUAUGAACUUAGACGAGGAAUCUUCUGUUUAUUCACGAAAACAGGGAUACCAAAGAUGCAAGCAAACAGCUUAUCCUGAAAUAAGACUUUAAGUGGGAUAUGAGCUACUAUCCAGAAUACUGUACACAUGUGAACGUGGUCAGUUUCUCAAGUGGUGGGAACAUCGUCUUUCAAACCACUUUUCAUCUGAUUCCUGGCCAUUUUUUUUUACUUAUGUCCGAACAGGUCAAAUGAGAUUUAUUUGGCCCUAAGUGUUUUUUGUUGUUGUUGUUUUUAGACUUACAUGGUAUAUUUUGUUGACAGUUUGGUCAAGAACAUGUGCUAGCUAACUAGCUUUACAGAUUGUUUUCAAAGAAAUGAGUGAAUUUGCUAGCAAGCUAAACAGCUAGCUAGUUGACUGCUGUGGUUAGCCGAAAAAGGACUUGUUUUGAUCAUCUCAUCCUUUUUUAAAAAAAUACUUUUUAAAGGUGUUCUUACACUUGUGAUUUUGAAUAUUCAACGUAACUGGUCAACUUCCUUUGUUUUAUUACAUAACUUCUGAGUGAAGUGUAGAAACGUCAGUCAUUUUCACUAUUCUUAGCAAUGAUUUAGGAAUCCUUGUAAGUAUUAGCUAGGUUCCUACUUGUUGUUGUUCGCCUGUUGAAAUUGAACUUCAGUUUAUGAAAAUAAAUAGCUAGCCAGCUACUUAACCCUGUUGGCCAAAGCUCAUGUUAUAAGCAGCCAGCUACUUAACCCUGUUGGCCAAAGCUCAUGUUAUAAGCAGCCAGCUACUUAACCCUGUUGGCCAAAGCUCAUGUUAUAAGCAGCCAGCUACUUAACCCUGUUGGCCAAAGCUCAUGUUAUAAGCAGCCAGCUACUUAACCCUGUUGGCCAAAGCUCAUGUUAUAAGCAGCCAGCUACUUAACCCUGUUGGCCAAAGCUCAUGUUAUAAGCAGCCAGCUACUUAACCCUGUUGGCCAAAGCUCAUGUUAUAAGCAGCCAGCUACUUAACCCUGUUG
rnacentral:lncRNA from 13 species